GAUGAACGCUGGCGGCGUGCCUAAUACAUGCAAGUCGAGCGAACGGACGAGAAGCUUGCUUCUCUGAUGUUAGCGGCGGACGGGUGAGUAACACGUGGAUAACCUACCUAUAAGACUGGGAUAACUUCGGGAAACCGUAGCUAAUACCGGAUAAUAUUUUGAACCGCAUGGUUCAAAAGUGAAAGACGGUUUUGCUGUCACUUAUAGAUGGAUCCGCGCUGCAUUAGCUAGUUGGUAAGGUAACGGCUUACGAAGGCAACGAUGGGCAGCCGACCUGGGGGGGUGAUGGGCCACACUGGAACUGAGACACGGUCCAGACUCCUACGGGAGGCAGCAGUAGGGAAUCUUCCGCAAUGGGCGAAAGCCUGACGGAGCAACGCCGCGUGGGUGAUGAAGGUCUUCGGAUCGUAAAACUCUGUUAUUAGGGAAGAACAAAUGUGUAAGUAACUAUGCACUUCUUGACGGUACCUAAUCAGAAAGCCACGGCUAACUACGUG
rnacentral:rRNA from 1 species